rnacentral:rRNA from 1 species
CCCUUAGAUGUUCUGGGCUACACGCGCGCUACACUGACGCACGCAACAGGUGCCUGCUCCGAGAGGACUGGGUAAUCAUUUGAGUGUGCGUCGUGAUGGGGAUAGAAUAUUGUAAUUAUUACUCUUCAACGAGGAAUUCCUAGUAAGCGCCAGUCAGCAGCUUGCGCUGAUUACGUCCCUGCCCUUUGUACACACCGCCCGUCGCUCCUACCGAUGGGUGAUCCGGUGAAUGAUUCGGACUUCAGCGGCUCCCCUGGGGUGCGCCGGAGAAAGUUUUGUGAACCUUAUCACUUGGAGGAAGGAGAAGUCGUAACG